GAGCUUGCUCUUGUGGAUCAGUGGCGAACGGGUGAGUAACACGUGAGCAACCUGCCCCGGACUCUGGGAUAAGCGCUGGAAACGGCGUCUAAUACUGGAUAUGAGACGUGACCGCAUGGUCAACGUUUGGAAAGAUUUUUCGGUCUGGGAUGGGCUCGCGGCCUAUCAGCUUGUUGGUGAGGUAAUGGCUCACCAAGGCGUCGACGGGUAGCCGGCCUGAGAGGGUGACCGGCCACACUGGGACUGAGACACGGCCCAGACUCCUACGGGAGGCAGCAGUGGGGAAUAUUGCACAAUGGGCGAAAGCCUGAUGCAGCAACGCCGCGUGAGGGAUGACGGCCUUCGGGUUGUAAACCUCUUUUAGCAGGGAAGAAGCGAGAGUGACGGUACCUGCAGAAAAAGCGCCGGCUAACUACGUGCCAGCAGCCGCGGUAAUACGUAGGGCGCAAGCGUUAUCCGGAAUUAUUGGGCGUAAAGAGCUCGUAGGCGGUCUGUCGCGUCUGCUGUGAAAUCUGGAGGCUCAACCUCCAGCCUGCAGUGGGUACGGGCAGACUAGAGUGCGGUAGGGGAGAUUGGAAUUCCUGGUGUAGCGGUGGAAUGCGCAGAUAUCAGGAGGAACACCGAUGGCGAAGGCAGAUCUCUGGGCCGUAACUGACGCUGAGGAGCGAAAGGGUGGGGAGCAAACAGGCUUAGAUACCCUGGUAGUCCACCCCGUAAACGUUGGGAACUAGUUGUGGGGUCCUUUCCACGGAUUCCGUGACGCAGCUAACGCAUUAAGUUCCCCGCCUGGGGGAGUACGGCCGCAAGGCUAAACUCAAAGGAAUUGACGGGGACCCGCACAGCGGCGGAGCAUGCGAUUAGUCGAUGCACGCGAGGACCUACAAGGCCUGGACAUACACGAGA
rnacentral:rRNA from 1 species